UCAUUUUAGAUCAAGAAAUACGAAAUCCGGACCUAGACUGGGGAAAUGCCAAGCUAGUAGACUAAAGCAAAUUAGUCAUCCACUUUUUGUAUACCGAGUGCCACCAAGCUAGUAUCGGGGAUCAAGGGACGUCGGAAGCAUCAAUCACAUUAUCACCUGAAACUUUGGUACAACUAGUUUAAUAUUUUGAUUUUGGCAUGUAUAGGGACUUGAAUCUUUUGUUUAGUGUAUUGUUAGUUUAGCCACAAGAGUUGGCUCAUAUGAUGGAUGUGAUAUUCAUUUUGUAUAGGCCAUUAAUGUUGGCUAAUAUUGAUUAUUAUUAAAUGCAUUUGAUGCAAAUUUCUCA